rnacentral:siRNA from 1 species
AAAGACGGGUCAUCAAAGAUUU